GUGGAGGAUGAUCGGCCGUGGCGGCAACUGCUUCUCGGCUGGAUUAUGAGCGAUUGAAGCGUAGGAGGUGCUGGAUUAGCUAGGAUGAUCGUCGCCAGUAUCUGGCAGCAGGCAAUCUACUACACCGCGAAUAAUCUCUUGCCGGACGCGGUGUGUGUGCUGAAUCGCAAGCGCCAGCAGUGGCGGAGCACGAAUUUCCAGCGAUGGAGCGCCAAAUCGAGCGGAUUGAGAGCAAUUCCGGUGACGGACAAGGCUUCCUGGAUAGAGGAGGAGGAAGCCCAGGAAUUCUCCCUCGGGCCACUAUCGGGCGAUCUUGCGGAGAUAGAAGCCUUCUGUCGAAUCCAGCGCCUUGCCGAGCAGCUCCACAGGACCGUGAUGGAAUCUCUACGUCGGUUAGAGAGCGCCGACGAGAACGUUGGUGCUCGAGGUGUGUUUAGUUCGUCCUUGGAGGAGAAAGUGGUGGCUGGGCUGGGGUGCAUUGGAGCUACUCUCCAUCAGGGAAGGCUGGACAUUCUAGGUGGCUACUCGAACGAGGAGGAAGAAAGGCUUCCUCGCCUCGCUCGGUUUCGAUCCAAGCUUAGAGGGUGUUGCUCGUCGCUACGUACCUCUCUCCAGUCCUUGUUACCGGCGAAAGGAGACCAGAAUCUAGCGGUUUACAGGAUCUUACACAGGCUGACCAACGUUUGCCUCGACGCUGGGUUUCCUCGUCCCGAUGGAGCACCGUGCUAUGGACACAUUCCAAAUUUCGCGACUGUCAAGCUCCAGAAAGGUGACGAGAAUUUGGUGGAGUUUUGGAGGGGUGGGAACAUCAAUGAGGAAGGCCUGGAGUGGUUGCUACAGCGGGAGUUUAAGACGAUUGUGGAUUUGAGAGAUGAAGAUCCUCAGAACGAACUGGCCGAAGCAGCGCUCAUGAAAGCCGAAGCGUCUGGGAGAAUAAGGCGAGUAAGAAUUCCCGUGUCAGUGCAGACAGCGCCGACGAUGGAACAAGUCCGCGAGUUUGCGGAUAUCGUCUCGGAUGCUGCGAAUCGCCCGGUUUUCCUGCAAAGCUAUGCCGGCGUGGUGAGAGCAUCAGCGAUGGUAUCCAGGUGGCGGGAGUUUGUGCUUCGUGGAGGCUUGGAUCGUAACUGUACCGAGCCGAUGUGCACAGUCGAAGACAUAUUUCUGGAGGAGACACCUGACAAAGCCUCUGAAAGCUCCAAGGUUGCAGCCAACAUGUUAAGAACAACGAGUCCCUUCGAGGCUCAAAUGCCGGGGCCGGAUGUCUUCUCUCGCAUGUCUAUGGCAAGAUUUUUCAAGAGGAAACGUACGCUGCCAGGCUCCGCCCGGCGGCAAAGGAGGACUAUCUACUCUCGUUUGGAUCCAGACGAGAACGCACAAAAUGGACGCUUCAAUGCCAAGGUUGAGGUGCCUAGCAAACCAUCUGGAGGUAGCACGAAUGGACGAGCUGGUGGCCGAGCAAAGGAAGAAGAUGAUAACGGCGCUGUCCAAGGUGAUAUGUGCGCUUCGAAAACCGGUGUCGUCAGGCUGCAGUCGAGGAAGAAGGCCGAGAUGUAUCUCGUGAGAACAGAUGGUUAUAGUUGCACCAGGGAGAGAGUGACGGAGUCGACGCUGGCAUUCACGCAUCCCAGUACACAACAGCAGAUGCUCAUGUGGAAGACUGCACCAAAGACGGUUUUGUUGCUAAAGAAGCUGGGAGAGGAGCUCAUGGAAGAGGCGAAACAGGUGGCUUCGUUUCUGUACAAUCACGAAGGCAUGAAUGUUAUGGUUGAACCUGACGUACACGAUCGAUUUGCCAGAUUUCCGGGUUUCGGAUUCAUCCAGACUUUCUACAAUCACGAUAUUGGCGAGCUCCAUGAAAGAGUUGAUUUUGUGGUGUGCCUCGGUGGAGAUGGAGUCAUCUUGCAUGCAUCCAAUUUGUUUAGGAGUGCUGUUCCUCCCGUGGUUUCUUUCAAUCUUGGCUCCCUCGGAUUCUUAACUGCUCAUCCCUUUGAGGACUUCAAACAAGACUUACGCGCGGUCAUACACGGAAAUAGAAUAGAAGGGGUGUAUGUUACUUUGCGUAUGCGCUUGAGGUGUGAAAUCGUCAGAGAUGGACAACCGGUUUCAGGGAAGGUCUUUGAAGUUCUUAAUGAAGUUGUCGUGGACAGAGGAUCGAAUCCUUAUCUCUGCAAGAUCGAAUGUUACGAAAGGAACCGGCUCAUCACAAAGGUUCAAGCGGACGGGGUGUUAGUAGCCACACCGACUGGUAGCACAGCUUACUCCACUGCUGCUGGAGGAUCAAUGGUUCAUCCGAAUGUGCCUUGUAUGCUGUUCACGCCCAUCUGUCCUCAUUCGUUAUCGUUUCGUCCUGUGAUCCUACCCGACUCUGCUAUUCUUGAACUGAAGGUUCCCAGUGACUCAAGAAGCAAUGCUUGGGUCUCGUUUGACGGGAAAAAGAGGCAGCAGCUCACCAAAGGCGAUUUGGUGCGAAUUCAUAUGGGCAGGAAUCCAAUGCCUACAGUUAACAAAUCCGACCAGACGUCCGAUUGGUUUCGGAGCCUGGACAGAUGCUUUAACUGGAGUGCUCGUAAAGAACAGAUGGCUCUACUUCACUGACUAACAGGUUCCAGAAGACGCGAGGAGCUCGGCAUUUGUUUCUUUCGACGGGAAGCGAAAGCAUCCCCUCAAAAUGGGUGAAUCCAUCCGAAUCAGCAUGAGCAAGCAUCCCAUGUCGACGGUAAAUAAGCGGGAUCAAACAGAUGAUUGGUUUGCCAGUUUGUCUCGAUGCUUUGGCUGGAACCAACGAGCCGAGCAAAAGUCGAUCACAGGUUAACGACGUAGCUAAGUUGGCACUGCAGGGACAUGAAAAAAAGCGUAAACUCCAAAUUUAAGUGUUCGCCACCUUCGCCCCGACAAUGAUGCCGCAUUGGUGAAGUAGACCUCCUUGCGGAUCAGGCUGAAGAAAAUAUGCGCACGGGCUUACUCAUUAAAUUAGUUCAAAUGCUGUUAAUAAACCACUAAUGUUCAACCACUAGAAUGAUCUUUUUUUUA